ensembl:lncRNA
CUCUUAGACCUCAUUUAAGGGCUGACUGCCACAGGGGAAAGCUUCUACCAAAGAGAAAUCUCCAGGAAGAAAUCCUUCCCCUAUGAUCCUGGAAUCUUCUGAUAUGGACCGAAACAACACCUAGCUCGGUGAACUCCGGCUCUCCUGCUGUUAUCCGUAGCGAUUAAGGAGCACAUCCCCGCGCUCUGAAUCACCGCCAGGACGAUAUCGCUCCUUAAUUCCCUCUUCCCUCUGCUGCCCCGCGGGCUCGCACGGCGCUGCUGGGCGGCCGGGGGAGGGCACAGCGGGACCGCGCAGCCCCGGCGGUACCGUUGCUAUAGCAGCGCCGCAGCGCAGCCUCGGCCGCAACUUUGGCCGCGGCGCGGGUGGGGAGCGGAGCGGAGCAGCGCGGCGUCGCCCCCCUCGCAGC